rnacentral:lncRNA from 1 species
AAAGUUUCUAGGUUGAGUGUAAACAUUGCACUGUAUGCAUAAAUGGUUAAACCUAACCUAAACAUAACCAUCACAUUUCUAAGAAAAGUAUUUUUCUUCCUAUAUUUUCUUUGAGUAAGCAGAAAAAAAUCCAUCAGUACUUACAUUUAGGCACAUAUCAAGCUCCAUUGUUUACUUUAAGAAUUAGAGUAUAAAUGAACUUCUUUCUUUUAUAUAAAUGCACAUAUUUUUACACUGAAAUCUCUCAGCUAACUCGUGACACUUGACAUUAAUCACAUACAUAGAUCAACAAAGACUUUGCUUUCAUAUAGAAAGUAAUUUCAAACAUAUUUCUAAAUUAUGACUUGUUAUUGCAGUCAAUUUAAUUAUCUAGCUAAUGACAAUGUAUGUUCAUAAUCAAAGUAGUCAAAAAUACCAAGUUUAGUAAUUAGACCAUAUAAUUCCUUAACAACUCAAUUUAUAAUGGAAAAGUACAAUGCUUUUAGACAAUGUUCUUCAAAUACUCCUCUAUAUUCAGAAUUAGGAAUUCCACAGUGUAUUCUUUUGACAUUUAAAGCUGGAGAUGGAGUGUUUAGGUUAGAAGCGUAGCUCCCUCCUGUAUUCUACCUGAAAUUGCUUGUAAGUCACAUUACAUUCUAAAUCCAUUUCCCCUCAAACCAUGCUGAGGGUAUAACAUUUACUCUCUGUCAUUAAUGUUCUUUUCUGUAAGACAUACCAAUAUGAAUUGUAACACAAUGAAACAAUUAAUCUUUCUUGGGCAAUUUUAAUGAUUCUAUAAUUAUAGAAAACUAUAGAAAAUCAUGUUUUCCC